rnacentral:rRNA from 1 species
AUGUCUUUAAGUUUCUAUGAAAAGUAUGAAAGACUAAUUCGCGAAUUCUGGUGGGGUCAGGAAGAUGGCCAUCACAAAGUGCACUGGAUGGCAUGGGACAAGUUGACAAAACCAAAGCGAGGAGGAGGGAUUGGGUUCGGAGACAUGCACAUGUUUAAUCAGGCCCUUCUGCGUGGACAGGGAUGGAGAUUACUCCAGAAGCCUGACAGCUUAUGUGCGAAGGUAUUGAAAUCAAAGUACUACCCUAAUGGUGAACUUCUGGACACGGUAUUCGCCUCAGACGCGUCACAAUCAUGGAGGGGGGUUGAAUUUGGCCUUGAGCUUUUAAAGAAGGGGCUAAUUUGGCGAGUUGGAAAUGGUAAAAGCAUCCAAAUCCAAAGAGAUCAAUGGAUCCCGAGGCAGACGGGACUCAAAACAGCAAGCUUUAUACGCAGGUCUAGAUUACGCUGGGUCAAUCAACUCAUCGAUCCCGGCCUGAGGACCUGGAACCGAACGUUGCUAAACCAGAUAUUCAAUCCGGCCAGAGAGACCGAGGACUGCAUUGCUCAGCAUCCUGAAAAAUCCGACAUGUUUACAGUCAAGAGUGCUUACAAGCUUGCUAUGGCUCUUAAAGGUCGGGCCCACAAACAUCCAGCUCCUCGGCCGACAUAG